UCAAGCUAAUAAGAGCAUAAGGUGAAUGCCUUGGCAUCAAGAACCGAUGAAGGACGUAAAAAGCUGCGAUAAGCUUCGGGGAGGAGCACAUAUCCAAUGAUCCGGAGAUAUCCGAAUGGGGAAACCUAGCUGAGAAAAGCUCAGUUGGCGUACAGUGAAUCAAUAGCUGUGCGUAGGGAACGCUCUGAACUGAAACAUCUAAGUAGGAGCAGGAAGAGAAAGAAACAUCGAUUUCCUAAGUAGUGGCGAACGAACGGGAAACAGGCCAAACCGAGAUACAUGUAUUUCGGGGUUGUGGACUACACCAUGUGAUGGAGGUAAGGUAGUAGAAUUGUUUUGGGAAAGCAAGCCAAAGAAAGUGAAAGCCUUGUAUACGAAACCUGAAGACCCACAGUAGUAUCCAGAGUACAUCGGGACACGUGAAACCCUGAUGGAAGCCGGAGGGACCACCCUCCAAGCCUAAAUAUUCCUUGAUGACCGAUAGCGAAGAAGUACUGUGAAGGAAAGGUGAAAAGAACCCCGGGAGGGGAGUGAAAGAGAACCUGAAACCCUGUGUCUACAAGCUGUGGAAGUACUUCUCAGGUACGACCGCGUACUUUUUGUAGAACGGUCCGGCGAGCUGCGGGUACUGGCAAGGUUAAGCACUUCAGGUGCGGAGCCGUAGGGAAACCAAGUCUUAAGAGGGCGUUUUAGUCAGUACGUGCAGGCCCGAAACCGGGUGACCUAUCCAUGUCCAGGUUGAAGCCGCCGUAAAAGGCGAUGGAGGACCGAACCCACAUCCGUUGAAAAGGGUGGGGAUGAGGUGUGGAUAGCGGAGAAAUUCCAAUCGAACCCGGAGAUAGCUGGUUCUCCUCGAAAUAGCUUUAGGGCUAGCCUCAUACAAGUCUGCCGGAGGUAGAGCACUGAAUUUCCGCGGGGGCGUCAAAGCCUACCAAAGAAUAUCAAACUCCGAAUGCCGGACAGAUGGUGUAUGGGAGUCAGACUGUACGAGAUAAGUUGGACAGUCAAAAGGGAAAGAGCCCAGACCGCCGGCUAAGGUCCCAAAGUGGGUGUUAAGUGGAAAAGGAUGUGGGAUCUCUAAGACAACCAGGAUGUUGGCUCAGAAGCAGCCAUUCAUUAAAAGAGUGCGUAACAGCUCACUGGUCGAGAGGUCCUGCGCCGAAAAUGUCCGGGGCUGAAACACCACACCGAAGCCGCGGAACCCGUAAGGGUUGGUAGAGGAGCAUUCUUAGGGGAGCGAAGCAUUACCGUAAGGGGAUGUGGACUGCUAAGAAGAGAGAAUGCCGGAAUGAGUAGCGAGAGCAAGGUGAGAAUCCUUGCGGCCGAAUAUCCAAGGUUUCCAGAGUAAAGCUGAUCUGCUCUGGGUAAGUCGGGGCCUAAGGAGAGGCAGAGAUGCGUAUCCGAUGGACAGCAGGUUUAAGAUUCCUGCACCCCUUGUUAUCAGAACUGCGGGGACACGGGAAGGGAAGCAGAGCCGGGAAUGGAAAGUCCGGUGCAAGCGAAGUAGUCGCAGGGUUGGAAAAUCCGCCCUGCAUGAGACGAAGGCGUGAUGCGGAGCGAAAUGAAGUAGUGAAGCUGCGGCCCCUUCCUGUCGAGAAAAGCCGCUAUCGUGUAGCAAGGGCCCGUACCGUAAACCGACACAGGUGGAUGAGGAGAGGAUCCUAAGGCCGGCGGGAGAAGUGUUGUUAAGGAACUCGGCAAAAUGACUCCGUAACUUCGGGAGAAGGAGUGCUGCGCAAGCAGCCGCAGAGAAAUGGCCCAAGCAACUGUUUAGCAAAAACACAGGUCUAUGCGAAACCGAAAGGUGAGGUAUAUGGGCUGACGCCUGCCCGGUGCUGGAAGGUUAAGAGGAGAGGUUAGCGGUAACGCGAAGCUUUGAAUUUAAGCCCCAGUAAACGGCGGCCGUAACUAUAACGGUCCUAAGGUAGCGAAAUUCCUUGUCGGGUAAGUUCCGACCCGC
rnacentral:rRNA from 1 species